GCAUCCGCCGCGGGAAUACCGAGGGUGCGAGCGUUAAUCGGAUUUACUGGGCGUAAAGCGUGCGUAGGCGGCUUUUUAAGUCGGAUGUGAAAUCCCUGAGCUUAACUUAGGAAUUGCAUUCGAUACUGGGAAGCUAGAGUAUGGGAGAGGAUGGUAGAAUUCCAGGUGUAGCGGUGAAAUGCGUAGAGAUCUGGAGGAAUACCGAUGGCGAAGGCAGCCAUCUGGCCUAAUACUGACGCUGAGGUACGAAAGCAUGGGGAGCAAACAGGAUUAGAUACCCGGGUAGUCCCUGUCUCUUAUAC
rnacentral:rRNA from 1 species